rnacentral:rRNA from 1 species
UACGGGGGGGGCAAGCGUUGUUCGGAAUUACUGGGCGUAAAGGGCUCGUAGGUGGCCAACUAAGUCGGACGUGAAAUCUUUCGGCUCAACCGGAAAAGUGCCCCCGAUACUGGCCGGCUAGAGGGAGAUAGGGGCAUGCGGAACUUCCGGUGGAGCGGUGAAAUGCGUAGAUAUCGGAAGGAACGCCGGUGGCGAAAGCGGCGUGCUGGAUCUCUUCUGACGCUGAGGCGCGAAAGCCAGGGGAGCAAACGGG